rnacentral:rRNA from 1 species
AUCCACAGCCAUAUCACCCAAGACCGGUUACUCACUAAAACUAAACAGGGCUGAGCCUGGUCAGUACCUGUAUGGGAGACCACUUGGGAAAACUAGGUUUCUGUUGGAA